rnacentral:rRNA from 1 species
AAGGAACUCGGCAAAAUGACCCCGUAACUUCGGGAGAAGGGGUGCUUUCUUAACGGAAAGCCGCAGUGAAUAGGCCCAAGCGACUGUUUAGCAAAAACACAGCUCUCUGCGAAGCCGUAAGGCGAAGUAUAGGGGGUGACACCUGCCCGGUGCUGGAAGGUUAAGGAGAGGGGUUAGCGUAAGCGAAGCUCUGAACUGAAGCCCCAGUAAACGGCGGCCGUAACUAUAACGGUCCUAAGGUAG